rnacentral:rRNA from 1 species
CAGCCGUAAACUAUGCGCGUUAGGUGUGUCGGUAACCACGUGUUACUGAUGUGCCGAAGAGAAAUCGUGAAACGCACCACCUGGGAAGUACGGUCGCAAGGCUGAAACUUAAAGGAAUUGGCGGGGGAGCACCACAACAGGUGGAGCCUGCGGUUUAAUUGGAUUCAACGCCGGACAUCUCACCGGAUAAGACAGCUGAAUGAUUGUCAAUCUGAAGGUUUUACAUGACUAGCUGAGAGGUGGUGCAUGGCGUAGACGUCU